CCUACGGGUGGCAGCAGUGAGGAAUAUUGGUCAAUGGGCGCGAGCCUGAACCAGCCAAGUCGCGUGAGGGAGGACGGCCCUACGGGUUGUAAACCUCUUUUGCCGGGGAGCAACGGGCGGCACGUGUGCCGUCACGGAGAGUACCCGGAGAAAAAGCAUCGGCUAACUCCGUGCCAGCAGCCGCGGUAAUACGGAGGAUGCGAGCGUUAUCCGGAUUUAUUGGGUUUAAGGGGUGCGUAGGCGGUUCUUUAAGUCAGUGGUAAAAUUGCGGGGCUCAACCCCUUCCCGCCAUUGAAACUGGCGUUCUUGAGUGGAAGAGAAGUAGGCGGAAUGCGUGGUGUAGCGGUGAAAUGCAUAGAUAUCACGCAGAACCCCGAUUGCGAAGGCAGCAUGCCGGCUUCCGACUGACGCUGAAGCACGAAAGCGUGGGGAUCGAACAGGAUUAGAUACCCCUGUAGUC
rnacentral:rRNA from 1 species